rnacentral:rRNA from 1 species
GACGAACGCUGGCGGCGUGCUUAACACAUGCAAGUUGAACGGUAAGGCCUCUUUCGUGUGGUACUUGAGUGGCGAACGGGUGAGUAACUCGUGAGUAACCUGCCCUUGACUUUGCGAUAACUUCAGUAAACUGGGGCUAAUACCUGAUAGGUGCUCCUUCUGCAUGGUGGGGGUUGGUAAGUUUCGGCGGUUGGGGUUGGUCUGGCGGGUUAUCACCUUGUUUGUGGGGUAUUGGCUUACCAAGGCUCUGACGGGUAGCCGUCCUGAGACGGUGACCGGCCACAAUAGGACUGAGAGACGGCCCAGAAGCGUACGGGAGGCAGCAGUGGGGAGUAUGGCACAAUGGGGGGAAGCCUGAGGAAGCGACGCCGUGUGCGGGAUGACGGGCUGCGAGUUGUGAACCGCUGUGGGACAGGACGAAGCAUUGUGUGACGGUAGUGGGUAAAGAAGCAACGGCUAACUACGUG